UACGUAGGGUGCAAGCGUUGUCCGGAAUUAUUGGGCGUAAAGAGCUCGUAGGCGGCUUGUCGCGUCGGCUGUGAAAACCUGGGGCUCAACCCCCGGGCCUGCAGCCGAUACGGGCAAGCUAGAAUUCGGUAGGGGAGACUGGAAUUCCUGGUGUAGCGGUGAAAUGCGCAGAUAUCAGGAGGAACACCAAUAGCGAAGGCAGCUCGCUGGGACGUUACUGACACUGAGGCGCGAAAGCGUGGGGAGCGAACAGG
rnacentral:rRNA from 1 species